rnacentral:tRNA from 1 species
GGUGCGGUGGCUAAGCACUUGGCUGCUAACCAAAAGGUUGGUGGUUCGAACCACCAGCAGCUCCU